AUGGCUCUUCCCACCCACUCUUAUUUUGGGUUUCAUGGUUGAUGAAUUAUACCAGUGUGUGGCAACUCUGGCCAAAUGUUAGAAUCACCUGUGGGAGCUUCAAAAAUAAUGCCUAUGCCUGUGCCCUAAUCCCAGACGAAUUGAAUCAACAUCUAUGGAAGAUGAUCCCUGGAUAUCAGCAUUUCUCAAAGCUCUCCAACAGAUUUUAUAGAGUAGCUUAAUUUAAGGUCCCAUAAGGGAAGGAAACAGCAAACUCAUAUCUUUUAGUGCGACUUUCAGAAACAGAAUGCAUUGCCCAAGUAGUUUGCCACUGGUUCCUAUGCUUAAGGCAAAUCCUAGGUAACAAGCAUGUGAAAUUUACAUGCCUAACUGCUCUUUUUGAGUUUUCUAACACUCCAAGAAGUUUUAAAUGUAUCUAAAUGUUUCUCCGAGAAUCUUAGGAAUUCUAUCACUGCCAGUACAGAUAGUCAAGUCUUAGGAAUGUAACUAAUUUCUUUCAUUCUCUGGUCUUCCAACAAUCAUGUUAAUUUAUAAAAAAAAAAUGCAUUAAAGAGAAGUACAUGGUCGCAAU
rnacentral:lncRNA from 10 species